rnacentral:rRNA from 1 species
UACAGGGGGGGCAAGCGUUGUUCGGAAUUACUGGGCGUAAAGGGUUCGUAGGUGGCCACUUAAGUCAGACGUGAAAUCCCUCAGCUUAACUGGGGAACUGCGUCUGAUACUGAGUGGCUUGAGUGCAGGAGAGGAACGCGGAAUUCCAGGUGUAGCGGUGAAAUGCGUAGAUAUCUGGAGGAACACCGGUGGCGAAGGCGGCGUUCUGGACUGCAACUGACACUGAGGAACGAAAGCCAGGGGAGCAAACGGG